ensembl:snoRNA small nucleolar RNA, C/D box 10
GCUCUGUGAUGAGCCCAUGCGUGUCAGCUGAGCCUGGCUGGCCCCUGCCGUGGCCCGGGGAGUGUUCUACUGCCCUGGCCUGGCCCGGGGGUCCCGGGCAAAGGAUCAACCUGUGUAUUCUGAGAGC